ensembl:lncRNA
CAUGUGACUGGUGUGGCAUCAUGUGACUGGUGUGGUAUCAUGACAGUAUCAUGUGACUGGUGUGGUAUCAUGUGACUGGUGUGGCAUCAUGUGACUGGUGUGGUAUCAUGUGACUGGUGUGGCAUCAUGUGACUGGUGUGGCAUCAUGUGACUGGUGUGGCAUCAUGUGACUGGUGUGGUAUCAUGACAGUAUCAUGUGACUGGUGUGGCAUCAUGUGACUGGUGUGGCAUCAUGACAGUAUCAUGUGACUGGUGUGGCAUCAUGUGACUGGUGGGCAUCAUGUGACUGGUGUGGUAUCAUGUGACUGGUGUGGCAUCAUGUGACUGGUGUGGUAUCAUGUGACUGGUGUGGCAUCAUGACAGUAUCAUGUGACUGGUGUGGCAUCAUGACAGUAUCAUGAGACUGGUGUGGUAUCAUGACAGUAUCAUGUGACUGGUAUAUCAGUGGUUAGGGUUUGGAGUUUUACCUGACUAGGAAUAACUCCUGGCCUUAACAAUGAUGACAAUAUUCACGUUUCUCAAAAAAAUCCUGUUUCCUCACUGAAAUGUCUACUCGUGUCUGUUUUUACAGUGCUUUCUAAAUGUUUUCAAGAACCACACGAGUCACUUCCUCAGUUCUUCCAGACGGGUGAUGUUCUGACAGAGCGGUAUGAACUCACACACAACCUGAAUGUAGUUUAUUACAUUAUUACAUUAAAAUAAAGUUUAUUACAUUAAAAUGUUUUAUUUGUUUACAUAA